AAGUCGUAACAAGGUUUCCGUAGGUGAACCUGCGGAAGGAUCAUUAUUGAAUAAAUCUGACUUGCGCUGUCGCUGCCUCCCCCUGGGAGUGUGUGCACGCCUUGUCACCUUUAUCUUUCCACCUGUGCACACACUGUAGGCCUAGAUACCUCUCACCUCUCGGGGUGGAUGCAGAGAUUGCUGUUGUCCUCGCAAGAGGCCGGCUUUCUUUGAAUUUCUAUGUCUAUGAUUUACACAUACCCCAAUUGAAUGUUACAGAAUGUUAUCUUAUAUGGCCUCUGCGCCUAUAAAUCAAUACAACUUUCAGCAACGGAUCUCUUGGCUCUC
rnacentral:misc_RNA from 1 species